UGAGGCAAAGUCUCUCUCUGUCUCCAGGCUGGACUGCAGUGGUGCGAUCUCAGCUCACGGCAGCCUCCGCCUCCUGGGAUUCAAACAAUUCUCCUGCCUCAGCCUCCUGAGUAGCUGGGACUACAGGGUAGUCCUUUUCAGCUUCUAAGAGCUCUUUAAACUAGUAAAGCCCUGCCAUAAUGCACCUAAAAAACUGAGAUAUAAAAUGUGUAGUAACACAUUUUCCUUAACAUGAAUGAAAAAGUGUUUUUUCAGUCAGUCUGUAUUUUCACAAAAAGGACAAACAUAAAAGAUUCAGAAACAAACUGUGCAUAAAAAGUACAAAUACCCUGAAACUCCGAAAUGAUUGUGAAGCAGUCACUUCCCAACCCUACUGCCCAUCACCCAAAACACUAGGAGAAAAUAAGAAUGUUGGCUUUUCCCAGUCUCCACCAUCAGUAGCAAGGUACACAAAGCCCAAGUUAAAGGAAUGUUUCUGCAGAGGCUUUACUGUAAUGUGGAUUUAGCCCUUUCUAUUUUUCUAACUCACUGAUUUCUGCAUGUAUAUCUUUAAUAAUUUCCCCCUUCUUCUUUCCUUCGGGUUUUUUGAUUG
ensembl:lncRNA novel transcript